rnacentral:pre_miRNA from 1 species
UAUGUACUCCCUCCGUUUGGAAUUACUCGUCCAAAAAAUGAAUGUAUCUAGAUGUAUUUUAGUUGUAGAUACAUCUAUUUUUGUGACAAGUAAUUCCGAACGGAGGGAGUAAUAC